GACGAACGCUGGCGGCGUGCUUAACACAUGCAAGUCGAACGGUAAGGCCCUUCGGGGUACACGAGUGGCGAACGGGUGAGUAACACGUGGGUGAUCUGCCCUGCACUUCGGGAUAAGCCUGGGAAACUGGGUCUAAUACCGGAUAGGACUCCUGCCUGCAUGGGUGGGGGUGGAAAGCUUUUGCGGUGUGGGAUGGGCCCGCAGCCUAUCAGCUUGUUGGUGGGGUGAUGGCCUACCAAGGCGACGACGGGUAGCCGGCCUGAGAGGGUGACCGGCCACACUGGGACUGAGAGACGGCCCAGACGCCUACGGGAGGCAGCAGUGGGGAAUAUUGCACAAUGGGCGCAAGCCUGAUGCAGCGACGCCGCGUGAGGGAUGACGGCCUUCGGGUUGUAAACCUCUUUCAGCACAGACGAAGCGCAAGUGACGGUAUGUGCAGAAGGAGGACCGGCCAACUACGUGCCAGCCGCCGCAGUAA
rnacentral:rRNA from 1 species